UGGGGAAUAUUGGACAAUGGGCGAAAGCCUGAUCCAGCCAUGCCGCGUGUGUGAAGAAGGUCUUCGGAUUGUAAAGCACUUUGAGCGAGGAGGAGGGUACUGGUAUUAAUACUACCAGGUACUGGACGUUACUCGCAGAAUAAGCACCGGCUAACUCUGUGCCAGCAGCCGCGGUAAUACAGAGGGUGCGAGCGUUAAUCGGAUUUACUGGGCGUAAAGCGUGCGUAGGCGGCUAAUUGAGUCGGAUGUGAAAUCCCCGAGCUUAACUUGGGAAUUGCAUUCGAUACUGGUUAGCUAGAGUGUGGGAGAGGAUGGUAGAAUUCCAGGUGUAGCGGUGAAAUGCGUAGAGAUCUGGAGGAAUACCGAUGGCGAAGGCAGCCAUCUGGCCUAACACUGACGCUGAGGUACGAAAGCAUGGGGAGCAAACAGG
rnacentral:rRNA from 1 species